GUGGACGCCAGUCUGCAUGGAGCCGACCUUGAAAUACCACCCUUUAAUGUUUGAUGUUCUAACGUGGACCCGUGAUCCGGGUUGCGGACAGUGUCUGGUGGGUAGUUUGACUGGGGCGGUCUCCUCCUAAAGAGUAACGGAGGAGCACGAAGGUUGGCUAAUCCUGGUCGGACAUCAGGAGGUUAGUGCAAUGGCAUAAGCCAGCUUGACUGCGAGCGUGACGGCGCGAGCAGGUGCGAAAGCAGGUCAUAGUGAUCCGGUGGUUCUGAAUGGAAGGGCCAUCGCUCAACGGAUAAAAGGUACUCCGGGGAUAACAGGCUGAUACCGCCCAAGAGUUCAUAUCGACGGCGGUGUUUGGCACCUCGAUGUCGGCUCAUCACAUCCUGGGGCUGAAGUAGGUCCCAAGGGUAUGGCUGUUCGCCAUUUAAAGUGGUACGCGAGCUGGGUUUAGAACGUCGUGAGACAGUUCGGUCCCUAUCUGCCGUGGGCGCUGGAGAACUGAGGGGGGCUGCUCCUAGUACGAGAGGACCGGAGUGGACGCAUCACUGGUGUUCGGGUUGUCAUGCCAAUGGCACUGCCCGGUAGCUAAAUGCGGAAGAGAUAAGUGCUGAAAGCAUCUAAGCACGAAACUUGCCCCGAGAUGAGUUCUCCCUGAGACUUAAAGUCUCCUGAAGGAACGUUGAAGACGACGACGUUGAUAGGCCGGGUGUGUAAGCGCAGCGAUGCGUUGAGCUAACCGGUACUAAUGAACCGUGAGGCUUAACCUUACAACGCCGAAG
rnacentral:rRNA from 2 species